rnacentral:rRNA from 1 species
UACGUAGGGUGCGAGCGUUAAUCGGAAUUACUGGGCGUAAAGCGUGCGCAGGCGGUUAUGUAAGACAGUUGUGAAAUCCCCGGGCUCAACCUGGGAAUUGCAUCUGUGACUGCAUAGCUAGAGUACGGUAGAGGGGGAUGGAAUUCCGCGUGUAGCAGUGAAAUGCGUAGAUAUGCGGAGGAACACCGAUGGCGAAGGCAAUCCCCUGGACCUGUACUGACGCUGAGACGCGAAAGCGUGGGGAGCGAACAGG